CAAUAGCGUAUAUUAAAGUUGUUGCGGUUAAAAAGCUCGUAGUUGGAUCUCGGCAGGCAGGGGGCGGUUCGCUCUUAGCGCUACUGCCCCAUUUGCCUGUGUGAUUGGCGGAGGUUUCGGGGUGCUCUUCGUUGAGUGACCCGGGGCGCCGUCAGGUUUACUUUGAAAAAAUUAGAGUGCUCAAAGCAGGCUUUUCACGCUUGAAUAUUCGUGCAUGGAAUAAUGGAAUAGGAACUCGUUUCUAUUUUGUUGGUUUUCGGAAAUCGAGUUAAUGAUUAAUAGGGACAAUUGGGGGCAUUAGUAUUCAGACGACAGAGGUGAAAUUCUUGGACCGUCUGAAGACUAACUACUGCGAAAGCAUUUGCCAAGAGUGUUUUCAUUAA
rnacentral:rRNA from 1 species